rnacentral:tRNA from 1 species
GGCACUUUGGCGGAGUGGUUAACGGUAAGACAUGACAUUAACUACUCAUUCUCAUAUAAAGUUACUAAUUCAUGUUAGCGAUGCCCUGCUAUAAUCCUUAGGAUUAAGACAGGCAUUUCCUUCGGGAGCGUGUGUUCGAAUCACACAGGUGUCG